GAUGAACGCUGGCGGCAGGCUUAACACAUGCAAGUCGAGCGGGCGAGGUUGCUUCGGUAACUGAGCUAGCGGCGGACGGGUGAGUAAUGCUUAGGAAUCUGCCUAUUAGUGGGGGACAACAUUCCGAAAGGAAUGCUAAUACCGCAUACGCCCUACGGGGGAAAGCAGGGGAUCUUCGGACCUUGCGCUAAUAGAUGAGCCUAAGUCAGAUUAGCUAGUUGGUGGGGUAAAGGCCUACCAAGGCGACGAUCUGUAGCGGGUCUGAGAGGAUGAUCCGCCACACUGGGACUGAGACACGGCCCAGACUCCUACGGGAGGCAGCAGUGGGGAAUAUUGGACAAUGGGCGCAAGCCUGAUCCAGCCAUGCCGCGUGUGUGAAGAAGGCCUUUUGGUUGUAAAGCACUUUAAGCGGGGAGGAGGCUACUUGGAUUAAUACUCUAGGAUAGUGGACGUUACUCGCAGAAUAAGCACCGGCUAACUCUGUGCCAGCCGCCGCAGUAA
rnacentral:rRNA from 1 species